AAAUUUAACCAAUAAUCACUGAACUUUACACUUGAUUACUACUUGCUCACUCAUCUUUCACAUAUUACUGAAUGCUCACUCAUCUUUUCAUAUAAUUACUCAUUCAUCACUCGUCUCUUCAAAUAAUUGGGCGACUUUUACGGCAAAUUUUCGACAACUUCCGACCACAAAGAAUGUCGAAUUUUGAUACCAUUGGAAAGCACACGAUGUCCUCUUCAAUUACCACCAAAAAUCUCAUUAUAACUCCAAGGGAUUUGAUCGAAAAAUUGCCUUAAAAGUCGCCCAAAAAUUCUGAAAAUCUGCCCAGAUUUUCAGAUUUUUUGGGCGACUUUUAAGGCAAUUUUUCGGCAACUUUCGACCAUCAAAACUAUCAAAUUUUGAUACCAUUGGAAAGCCCACAAUGUCCUCUUCAAUUACCAUCCAAAAUUUCCCCAUAAAUCCAAAGGAUUUGGUUGGAAUAAACCCACAAAAUCAGCAUCUUGAAAAGGCGAAAAU
rnacentral:lncRNA from 1 species